GCGGGCAUAGCUCAAUUGGUUAGAGCGCUGGAUUGUGGAUCCAGAGGUUGCGGGUUCAAGUCCCGUUGCUCGCCCCA
rnacentral:tRNA from 1 species